rnacentral:rRNA from 1 species
AUUGAACGCUGGCGGCAGGCCUAACACAUGCAAGUCGAGCGGCAGCGGGAAAGUAGCUUGCUACUUUUGCCGGCGAGCGGCGGACGGGUGAGUAAUGCCUGGGAAAUUGCCCAGUCGAGGGGGAUAACAGUUGGAAACGACUGCUAAUACCGCAUACGCCCUACGGGGGAAAGCAGGGGACCUUCGGGCCUUGCGCGAUUGGAUAUGCCCAGGUGGGAUUAGCUAGUUGGUGAGGUAAUGGCUCACCAAGGCGACGAUCCCUAGCUGGUCUGAGAGGAUGAUCAGCCAGACUGGAACUGAGACACGGUCCAGACUCCUACGGGAGGCAGCAGUGGGGAAUAUUGCACAAUGGGGGAAACCCUGAUGCAGCCAUGCCGCGUGUGUGAAGGAGGCCUUCGGGUUGUAAAGCACUUUCAGCGAGGAGGAAAGGUCAGUAGCUAAUAUCUGCUGACUGUGACGUUACUCGCAGAAGAAGCACCGGCUAACUCCGUGCCAGCCGCCGCCGUAAAAC